CGUCGUCCACCUGCUGCGGGCAGAUGAAGUGGAUGUGGGAAUCGAAGCCGCCGGCGGUGAGGAUCUUGCCCUCGCCGGCGAUGAUCUCGGUGCCCGGGCCGAUGAUGAUGGUCACGUCCGGCUGGAUGUCCGGGUUGCCGGCCUUGCCGAUGGCGGCGAUGCGGCCGCCCUUGAGGCCGACGUCGGCCUUCACGAUCCCCCAGUGGUCGAGGAUCACGGCGUUGGUGAUGACGGUGUCGACCGCACCCUGCGCCCGCGUCGCCUGGGACUGACCCAUGCCGUCGCGGAUG
rfam:Pseudoxanthobacter soli DSM 19599 genome assembly, contig: EJ95DRAFT_scaffold00005.5